UGGGUUCAUGUCAUCAUCUUCAGCACCUAUCUUAAAUUACCUUGUGGAAUAAUCACCCCAGCGGGCACUGUUUUGCUCUGCUCGGCCCGUUCGCAGCUAUUGAUUGCAUCGUCGUUCAACGGACUACUGAGAACCGCAUGACCUGAUUUACAUCACCGGCCUCUUCCCUCUUUUGAAGGGGUUGUACCGUUUCUGAAUCUUCUUUCUUGUUUUAACAAACGAGUCAAAAAUGGU
rnacentral:snoRNA from 1 species